rnacentral:rRNA from 1 species
CCUACGGGAGGCUGCAGUGAGGAAUAUUGGUCAAUGGGCGGAAGCCUGAACCAGCCAAGUAGCGUGCGGGAUGAAGGCCCUACGGGUCGUAAACCGCUUUUGCACGGGGAUAACACCCUCCACUUGUGGAGGUCUGCAGGUACCGUGCGAAUAAGGGCCGGCUAAUUCCGUGCCAGCAGCCGCGGUAAUACGGAAGGCCCGAGCGUUAUCCGGAUUCAUUGGGCUUAAAGGGAGCGUAGGCGGGCGUUCAAGUCAGCUGUAAAAGCGCGCGGCGCAACCGCGCCCCGAAGUUGAAACUGGACGCCUUGAGUUCACAACAGGCAGGCGGAAUUCGUGGGGUAGCGGUGAAAUGCAUAGAUAUCACGAGGAACCCCGAUUGCGAAGGCAGCCUGCCGGGGUGCGACUGACGCUGAGGCUCGAAGGUGCGGGUAUCAAACAGGAUUAGAUACCCUAGUAGUC